GCGGUGGACUUCAAUGGGAGAUGAUUUAUAUUGUAUAAAUAAUGUUUCCAGUACAUCAUCGUGUCACCCAAAGUUUCUGUUUUCGAAAAUAUGUGAGGUUGAGAGAAAAAAAUGUAUUUUUUUGUGGAUAACAUAGUUUCGGGUUUUAUAAACCCUCGAAGUUAUGCGGUUAUACUGAAUGAAUCGAAGCGAGAAGAGGAAAAUGUAUGAAAGUUAGACCCUACCGUAUUGUUUACACUUCCCAUCUGCGCUCUAAAUCGCAAUAAAAAUGAUAAUAAAAGCGCUAUGUGGUUAAAACAAUCAUUGCUAUGGAUGCAUUUUACCAUAAAAAAAGUUUCGUUAGGAAAAUUAGGGAGAUUUUUGUGGACUUCGGGAAAUUUGGAAGAGAAAACGUUGCCCUGUGUUUUCUAUGCGUGAAUAAAGUUUUUGUGUCUGAAUGAAACAUGAUACAGGUUAAUGUCACGUUAAUAAAUGUACAGGAGAGAGAUAGUACACUGCUCAUUUUUUACAUGAGAAACCGAAGGGUAUGUCACUUGACAGAUUAAAGCUGGAUGUUGCGGGGACAGGAGGUAUAGACUCACACCGGAGAGCCAGAGGAACAGCUCGCCUCCGAACUUAAAUUCUUUCGAACGUUCUGUUCUAACGGACAAAACCUCAGGACAGAUAUAAAAAAAAAUGUAAAGUGCAAUUGUUAGUUAAUUAAUUAGCAAAAAUGUAAGAACAUUUUGAUGAAAUGAAACUGUCAAAUUGUUGAUGUGAAUAUUUUUACGAGACUUUAGUACAAAAUAAAUGUUACAUUUUUAAACUAACAAGGAAAAAGUGAACAGCAUGAUGUUAAGAAGGGCCACAUUCUUUCCACCAGCAGACAAAAGGACGUUUCACCUUUGAAGUGGCUGGAUAAAUCAAUGCGCAAAACGGUUAGCCUUACAACAUCAUAUUGUUCGCGAAAAAUGGAUUAACAUCUGAGUUCUUGAAAAUUUAUAUUCGUCAAUAUACUUAACGUGGAUCAUAACAUAAAAUUGAAAUUUAACAUAGAAUCUGGUUGCUCCGCAGACUGCCUGCUUUUGUGGUCGUACCUGAUGGUUACGUGGACACAUUGGAUAUGAGUAAAAUAGAUGCAAACUCCCAUAAUACCACUGAAGUCAGUCCUGGAUACUAGUAUGCUAUAUAUACGGACGGAGAAAAGUUGUGGAGUGCUCAAUUACAGUUCAUGAAAGAGGACAGAAAUUUGAUAAAGCACUAUCAUCUUCCAACGGGCCGACCAUAAAAUUUUGGUAGGUGUUACUUUAUUAUUUAUAGACCUUUUCGUUCUGGUUCCCUGAGCUAUCUGUCAAUAAAGUACUGAUUACAUAGCUGAAGAAAUCGGGUACAAAAAUGGUGUUAAUUACAAAAUGGCAAUAAAAAAAUUGUUCCGGUCCCUGACUGAUAGAGUCGUUAAAGUUACAGGUGUUUUAAAAUAUCAUUUUGUCAAAAUUCACCCAAUUCUACUCAAAAUGAUAAUUACCAGGAGCGGUACAGCAUGACGUGUACUUGUCUGCGGUGCACCUGAUUUAGAGUAUGCUUCGAUCCUCAGGCGGGGCGUAUGUUUUGCGUGACGAUUUGCGAUGAUAAAACAUGUCUGAAAUCAUUUGCCCUCCACCUCUGAUUCAUGUGAGAAAGUUGGCUUUACUUGCGGAGAACAGGUUUGUACUGGUAUAGAAUCCAGGAACACUGGUUAGGUUAACUGCCCGACGUUAUAUAACUGAAAUACUGUUGAAAAUUGACUCCCCCUCCCCAAGAAAAAGACUAACAUUUAUAAAGGUACGAGUACAGGGAGCAUUCGUGUAUUUUUGGGUUUUGGACUCUCCUACCUUAAUAUAAAAUACACGCUGAUACUAUAGUAGUACUAACUGAUGGUAUCUCUAUGGACAAUCAAGCGGUGGAAAGAGCAAAAUCAUUAGUUUAAAAUAAAAUCAAAUUACAAA